CGUGAAACCGCAUGCAGGUAAACGGGUGGCGUCAAGCUGCAAGCCCGGAGGAUUCAGCUGGCUAGGAUGUUGUGUAUGCGCCUGGCGCAUCUAUCAGCCGGAGUAAGAUGUGAUAGUCCACUGGUAAACGGUGGGCCUGGCCGCAAGGUUGGGAUAUGUGUACCGGGCGGAAGCCGGAGCAUGCUAUUCGUCUGUUGGGCUGUCUAGUCAGUGCACUUUCUCUGUGGUGAACACCACGACCGGUGGAAUUGCCAGUCUGCUGUAGUCAAGUCGUAUUCAGUCGGUUCCUGUAGCCAACUGGGUGCGAUCACAGGCAAACUCAGUAAACGGCGUAGGGGUGUCUCGGCAUCCUUGCGUGUUAUCGGCUGCUGGUUGUCAACGGGCCUGCCUGAUGAUUGUUGUAACCGUCAUUGGGUGGUCUGGUGGGCUAUGGUGGUAAGAAUAACUGUGCAAGGCAUCGGAGUUU
rnacentral:rRNA from 1 species